CCGAGUCUUAAUUGGGCGUUAAGUUGCAGGGUAUAGACCCGAAACCCGGUGAUCUAGCCAUGGGCAGGUUGAAGGUUGGGUAACACUAACUGGAGGACCGAACCGACUAAUGUUGAAAAAUUAGCGGAUGACCUGUGGCUGGGGGUGAAAGGCCAAUCAAACCGGGAGAUAGCUGGUUCUCCCCGAAAGCUAUUUAGGUAGCGCCUCGUGAAUUCAUCUCCGGGGGUAGAGCACUGUUUCGGCUAGGGGGCCAUCCCGGCUUACCAACCCGAUGCAAACUGCGAAUACCGGAGAAUGUUAUCACGGGAGACACACGGCGGGUGCUAACGUCCGUCGUGAAGAGGGAAACAACCCAGACCGCCAGCUAAGGUCCCAAAGUCAUGGUUAAGUGGGAAACGAUGUGGGAAGGCCCAGACAGCCAGGAUGUUGGCUUAGAAGCAGCCAUCAUUUAAAGAAAGCGUAAUAGCUCACUGGUCGAGUCGGCCUGCGCGGAAGAUGUAACGGGGCUAAACCAUGCACCGAAGCUGCGGCAGCGACGCUUAUGCGUUGUUGGGUAGGGGAGCGUUCUGUAAGCCUG
rnacentral:rRNA from 1 species